UACGAGGGGGGCAAGCGUUGUUCGGAAUUAUUGGGCGUAAAGGGCGCGUAGGCGGUCUGAUAAGUCUGAUGUGAAAUCUCUGGGCUCAACCCAGAGUCUGCAUUAGAAACUGUCGGGCUUGAGUAUGGGAGAGGUGCGUGGAAUUUCCGGUGUAGCGGUGAAAUGCGUAGAUAUCGGAAGGAACGCCUGUGGCGAAAGCGGCGCACUGGACCAAAACUGACGCUGAGGCGCGAAAGCUAGGGGAGCAAACAGG
rnacentral:rRNA from 1 species